rnacentral:lncRNA from 1 species
UCAGCCAAACAUGCCCCUUCUACUUUCUCUCCCGCACAAACUCUCACUUGUUCCCCUUCUGACAGCUUUCUCCCACAGAGAGCACAAUCAUAUUCAUUUCCUUAGGGUUCUCUCUCUGCAGAGCACAAUCAUAUUUAUUCUCUAGGGUUUUUCUUGUAUACACAAUACAACUCCAGGAUGGUGGGCCCACCACCCCAAUCUCAGUCUCAGUCUCAGUCUCAAUCUCAAUCUCAAUCUCAAUCUCAAUCUCAACCAGCAGCUGAAGAAGCAUUAAAGAGAAACACGGAUUGCGUUUACUUUCUUGCUUCCCCUUUAAC